rnacentral:rRNA from 1 species
AUGCCACAGGGCCGCACCACCACAGCUUCGACUCCACAUCAACAAACAAACCGAGGCAAUACCGCGAACACGACGGAGAAGAGCCGACUACCGCAACCAUUGCCACGUCGCCGACAUCGCUCCCACCAUCAUCGUUGCCACAGAAGCAUGGUCGCCACAGUGAUCCUCUCGGGGCCGCCUCCCCGACAUCCACCGCUCCGUCGCGCCCAACGCACUCCACCGGUGUGCCUUCCGGGGCCGCCGCCUCGACAUACCACCGCUCCCCUCGAGCAGCAACGCCACACAGCACAGCUGCCCGCAGCCCACGCUGCUCAGGGCAACCGCUCAUAG